UUCUAAACUAAUCACGGAAAUGCAAAAAUUGGAUACUACACUAUCAACUUUUUUCUUUUGUUCUCUUUAUCUCGUGAAUUUCCAUUUAAUGAGUUUAGUU